rnacentral:misc_RNA from 1 species
AGAAGAGGUUUAUACAAAAUUUAUUAUUUUGAUUAUAUUAAUUAUAUUUUUUUAAUUUAUUAAAGAAUAGAAAUAAAUUUACUUUUAUAAAAUCAAAGGAAUAUUUUUCAGCAUUACAUAAAUGAGUCCAAAAUUUUUUAAUUAUAUUUAAUUUAUUAUAAAUUUAAUGUACAAAAUGUAAAAUGAGAUCCACACGUACGCGUUUAUGUCUUACCAAUCUAAACAAGUUACGUAGGACCCAUGUCUACUUAAACUAUUAAUUCACUGACGUGGCGAUGACAAGUUCUUUUUCGUGUACAACUUGGAUGGGAAUUGCUGGAGCCCGCAGUCAACUUCUGCCUCUUAUUAUUGUUAUUAAUUUUUUUUAAAAGAUAUAAUAUAUUAGUAUAUGAAUCAGUGUUAAAAAUAAAUUUUUAUAAAUUUUUAUUAAAAUUAUGAUAAUUUAAAAAAAAAUUUUAAUUUUAUGCAAUCAACAUAAAAUCUUGAAGAUUUUUUCAUCACAUACUUACUGCUUCUAUUAAUUAUUAAUUAUUAAUAAUUAAUAUAUAAUAAUUAACCGUUAUUAUAAUAUUUAAUAUUAUCAAACAGGAUUUAUAUUGCAUACCCUCCAUAUUAUAUCCUAAUUAGUAUUUUGUCGGGCGUUAUAUUCAUUAUUUGUUAGCUUAUUUUAAUAAUAUAAUUUAAUA